AGGAGGUCAUUUACUGAUUCAAGAGGAAUAUAUAAAGAUAAUGUUGAUACUAAUAAUAGUCUAUCUGCAGCUUUGAAGGGAUGAAUAUCCCUUCUGGGACCUCACUUUUACUCUGCAAAAAGUGACUUCACUCCUGUGAAACAAUGUAGAUCCUCAAAAGAGAGUGAGGAAGAGGAAGAGGCAGAAACUGAAGCAAUCAAGUGAAAAAAAUGUGAAAAUUCUGGGAAGAGUAGGAAGAGAGAGGAAAAAGAAAUGAGAAGAGUUAGGGAGAGAUAGGGACUUGGGAAGCAAGGGGGAAGGAGGAAAAAAUGAUGGGGAAGAUCAAAAAAGAUAAGUGAAAUGGUGACAGCAUAUGGGCACAGGAAAUUAAUGUAGUGGAUGAAGAAAAAGCAAAUGGGUGUGUGUGUGCCUGGAGGGAGAGAUGAAGAGAGGCAGUAACAGAAAGAAGUGAAGUUGUCUAAUGUGCAGGGAUGGGAAGUGACAUGUUUGUGUGAAUUUGGAGGCUGCUCGGCCCGGCUGCACUCUGGUUUCUACCUUUGAUCAGCUGCAUGGCAGGCUGGUGUCAGAUCAGAAAGCAAAUGAGAUGAUAAAGCAGCUGAAGCUGCAGUGACUUCAACAGCAGCAGACUGGCAGGGGUGGGAGGGAGGAACUGUUGAACAAGGUGAAUGCUCCUUGUGCUUUAAUUCACAGAGUCCUGGCAGGGAAUGCAGCUGCCUCCUCUGCUGAGAAGUUGCAAAUGGCCAGAGCAAGAAGCUGCACUGAACUGGUGACAUAAAGGACCUGCCUCCAUGUGCUGGUACCACUGUCAGCAGCACACUUGCCAACUGCAAGCCUGGUUGGAGCAUCAAAGAGGUUCUUUUGCAGGUAAUCAGAGGACAUGUUAAGCACGGCUUUCAGCUGCUUCACCUGAGCAACACUUGGGGGGAUAAUUAAGGAGUUGCCUGAGAGAGCAAAGAGAGAGGCAGAAGAAAGAAGGAAGGGAAUAAAUAAGCUAAUUGGGAUCA
rnacentral:lncRNA from 1 species